rnacentral:rRNA from 1 species
CCUACGGGUGGCAGCAGUGGGGAAUAUUGCACAAUGGGGGAAACCCUGAUGCAGCGACGCCGCGUGAGUGAAGAAGGAAUUCGUUAUGUAAAGCUCUAUCAGCAGGGAAGAAAAUGACGUUACGUGAGUAAGAUGCCACGGCUAACUACGUGACAGCAGCGGCCGUAAUACGUAGGAUGCGUGUGUUAUCCGGAUUUAUUGGGUUUAAGGGGUGCGUAGGCGGUAUUUUAAGUUAGUGGGAAAACGUCGGGGCUUCACCUUGAUUGGCCAUUCACACUGGAGUACUAGAGUACAGAGGAGGUAGGUGGAAUAAGUUAAGUAGCGGUGAAAUGCUUAGAUAUAACUGAGAACCCCGAUAGCGAAGGCAGCUUACCAGACUGGUACUGACGCUGAAGCACGAGAGCGUGGGUAGCGAACAGGAUUAGAUACCCUUGUAGUC